rnacentral:rRNA from 1 species
AUGCUCAUUGAUAAAGUUGCAGCAAAGCUUGCGGGCUGGAAGGGCAAAUUACUUAACAAGAAGGGGCGGCUGGCCCUUAUCAACUCUGUGUUAACCUCCUUGACAACAUACUAUCUGACCAUUUUUGCGCCAUCCAAAUGGGUUGUAAAGAGGAUUGACAAACUUCAAAGAAGCUUCUUGUGGAAAGGAGAAGAAGAGGCCAAAGGAGGCCAAUGUGCGGUCAAUUGGCAACAAGUCUGUUCCCCC